AAUCAACGCUGGCGGCGUGCCUCAGACAUGCAAGUCGAACGCGAAAUUCCCCUUCGGGGAGAAAGUAGAGUGGCGCACGGGUGAGUAACACGUAGGUAAUUUGCCUUUGGGUGGGGAAUAACUCAGGGAAACUUGAGCUAAUACCGCAUAAUGCAGCGGCUCGACAUCGAGACAGUUGUUAAAGCGGGGGAUUGGAGCAAUCCGACCUCGCGCCUAAAGAGAAGCCUGCGGCAGAUUAGCUAGUUGGUAAGGUAAUGGCUUACCAAGGCGACGAUCUGUAACCGGCCUGAGAGGGCGGUCGGUCACACUGACACUGACAUACGGGUCAGACUCCUACGGGAGGCAGCAGUCGGGAAUUUUGGGCAAUGGGCGCAAGCCUGACCCAGCAACGCCGCGUGAAGGAUGAAAUUUUCGGAAUGUAAACUUCGCAAGAACAGGAAGAAUAAGUGUGGGACAAUACCCACAUGAUGACGGUACUGUUUGUAAGC
rnacentral:rRNA from 1 species